rnacentral:rRNA from 1 species
GGGUUGUGAGGUUAAGCGACUAAGCGUACACGGUGGAUGCCUAGGCAAUCAGAGGCGAUGAAGGACGUGCUAAUCUGCGAUAAGCGUCGGUAAGGUGAUAUGAACCGUUAUAACCGACGAUUUCCGAAUGGGGAAACCCAGUGCAAUUCGUUGCACUAUCGUUUGAUGAAUACAUAGUCAAACGAAGCGAACCGAGGGAACUGAAACAUCUCAGUACCUCGAGGAAAAGAAAUCAACCGAGAUUCCCCUAGUAGCGGCGAGCGAACGGGGAGCAGCCCAGAGUCUUAAUCAGCAUUAGCAUCAGGAGAACGGUCUGGAAAGGCCGGCAGUAAAGGGUGAUAGCCCCGUAUCCGAAGGUGUUAGUGUUGUGAACUCGACGAGUAGGGCGGGACACGUGUUAUCCUGUCUGAAUAUGGGGGGACCAUCCUCCAAGGCUAAAUACUCCUGAUUGACCGAUAGUGAACCAGUACCGUGAGGGAAAGGCGAA